rnacentral:rRNA from 1 species
UACGAAGGGGGCUAGCGUUGUUCGGAUUUACUGGGCGUAAAGGGCGCGUAGGCGGAUUCUUAAGUCAGGAGUGAAAUCCCUGGGCUCAACCCGGGAAUUGCUUUUGAAACUAAGAGUCUGGAGUGUGAGAGAGGUGAGUGGAAUUCUCAGUGUAGAGGUGAAAUUCGUAGAUAUUGGGAGGAACACCGGUGGCGAAGGCGGCUCGCUGGACUGCUACUGACGCUGAGGUGCGAAAGCGUGGGGAGCAAACAGG